rnacentral:rRNA from 1 species
GCUAAACAGCUAGCUUUAACACUUAACCAACAAAACAUUAUUAAUAACACAUAAUAGACCUAAAAAAGAAAACUAAACCAUUCUUUUAUCCAAGUACGGGAGACAGAAAAGAUUUAAUUUAAGCCAUAGAAACAGUACCGCAAGGGAAAGCUGAAAGAGAAAUGAAAGAACCCAUAUAAGCAUAGAAAAGCAAAGACUAAACCUUGUACCUUUUGCAUCAUGAUCUAGUUAGCAUUGUCAAGCAAAGAGAUCUUUAGUUUGAAACCCCGAAACCAAGUGAGCUACCCCGAGACAGCCUAUUUAGGGCCAACCCGUCUCUGUGGCAAAAGAGUGGGAGGAGCUCCGGGUAGAAGUGACAGACCUAACGAACCUGGUGAUAGCUGGUUGCCUAAGAAAUGGAUAGAAGUUCAGCCCCGCUCGCCUUAAAUCAAAACCUUUAAAGUUAAGACAAAAGAAAUUUGCGGGAGUUAGUUAAAGGGGGUACAGCCCCCUUAACAAAGGAUACAACCUUAACAGGUGAAUAAAGAUCAUAAUACUGAAAACACACUGUUCUAGUGGGCCUAAAAGCAGCCACCUAAGUAGAAAGCGUUAAAGCUCAGACAGAAGAAUGUUUAUUAUCCUGAUAAAAAAUCUUAUUUCCCUAAAUCUAUUAGGCCACUCCAUGCCCCCAUGGAAGAAAUUAUGCUAGAAUGAGUAACAAGAAGAAUAGCUCUUCUCCUAAGCACAAGUGUAAACCAAAUCGGACAAACCAUUGGUGAUUAACGAACUCAACCCAAGAGAGAAAUGUGAAUUACAUAAUAAUCAAGAAGACCCCACAACUUGACUAUCGUUAACCCCACACUGGAGUGCCUUACUACGGGAAAGACUAAAAGAGAGGGAAGGAACUCGGCAAACUCAAGCCUCGCCUGUUUACCAAAAACAUCGCCUCCUGCAACUAGACCAAGUAUAGGAGGUCCAGCCUGCCCAGUGACUUAGGGUUCAACGGCCGCGGUAUUUUGACCGUGCAAAGGUAGCGCAAUCACUUGUCUCUUAAAUAGAGACCUGUAUGAAUGGCUAGACGAGGGCUUAACUGUCUCCCCUCUCAGGUCAGUGAAAUUGAUCUAUCCGUGCAGAAGCGGGUAUAAACCUACAAGACGAGAAGACCCUUUGGAGCUUAAGGUACAAAACCUAACCAUGUUAAACAAAUCAAUAAAAAGAGUAAACUAAGUGGAAAGUAGGAAUUUACCUUCGGUUGGGGCGACCACGGAAGACAGAAAAGCUUCCAAGUGGACUGGGAUUUUAUCCUAAAGCCAAGAGAAACCUCUCUAAGCAACAGAACAUCUGACCAUCAAUGAUCCGGCCCACCGGCCGAUCAACGAACCAAGUUACCCUAGGGAUAACAGCGCAAUCCUCUCCCAGAGUCCAUAUCGACGAGGGGGUUUACGACCUCGAUGUUGGAUCAGGACAUCCUAAUGGUGCAGCCGCUAUUAAGGGUUCGUUUGUUCAACGAUUAAAGUCCUACGUGAUCUGAGUUCAGACCGGAGCAAUCCAGGUCAGUUUCUAUCUGUAACGCUAUUUUUCCUAGUACGAAAGGAUCGGAAAAAGGGGGCCUAUACUUUAAGCACGCCCCACCCCUCAUUUAUGAAGACAAAUCAAUAAAGUAAAGGGUGAGCAAAACAAUACUCCGAAAUAUAGGAGUU